GUGUUACUUUAUUUUGGUUUGGCGGGACUGAAAAGGAUGGAGUUGAUGUGAUGUAGGGGUUGUGAUGGACGGGAGGAUGUUUCUUUGAUGGGCUGCUGGAGGUCUGACAGGUCUGCGGCCCCUGAAGCACCAGGAACCAUGGAAUGACUGACAGCACCAAGUGUCCUUGUCUUCUUUCGUCUCUGUCCAGAGGAUAUACCAAAUACCUUUCCCUCACCACUUCCAUUGGACUUUUUCAGUCAUCUGGCCUGGACUCCAUUAAGUCCUCUGAAGGAGCAGCCUGUGGAGCAACAAGGGGAGACCUCCCCUUCCUCAGAAGAGGAUGAUUUCUUUUCUGCAAUCAAGCAGUUCCAUUCCCCAAAAAACUCCAAGUAGCUGGAGUG